rnacentral:rRNA from 1 species
GACGAACGCUGGCGGCGUGCCUAACACAUGCAAGUCGAACGGAAGUAAGAGCUUCGGUUUUUACUUUAGUGGCGAACGGGUGAGUAACGCGUGGGUAACCUGCCUCAUACAGGGGGAUAACAGUUAGAAAUGACUGCUAAUACCGCAUAAGCGCACGUCAUCGCAUGAUGGUGUGUGAAAAACUCCGGUGGUAUGAGAUGGACCCGCGUCUGAUUAGGUAGUUGGUGGGGUAACGGCCCACCAAGCCGACGAUCAGUAGCCGGACUGAGAGGUUGAACGGCCACAUUGGGACUGAGAUACGGCCCAG